UACAGAGGUCUCAAGCGUUGUUCGGAUUCAUUGGGCGUAAAGGGUGCGUAGGCGGCGCGGUAAGUCGGGUGUGAAAUCUCGGAGCUUAACUCCGAAACUGCAUUCGAUACUGCCGUGCUUGAGGACUGGAGAGGAGACUGGAAUUUACGGUGUAGCGGUGAAAUGCGUAGAUAUCAGGAGGAACACCGAUGGCGAAGGCAGGUCUCUGGGCUGAAACUGACGCUCAUGCACGAAAGCGUGGGGAGCAAACAGG
rnacentral:rRNA from 1 species